AACGCUAGCUACAGGCUUAACACAUGCAAGUCGAGGGGCAGCAUGGUCUUAGCUUGCUAAGGCCGAUGGCGACCGGCGCACGGGUGAGUAACACGUAUCCAACCUGCCGUCUACUCUUGGACAGCCUUCUGAAAGGAAGAUUAAUACAAGAUGGCAUCAUGAGUCCGCAUGUUCACAUGAUUAAAGGUAUUCCGGUAGACGAUGGGGAUGCGUUCCAUUAGAUAGUAGGCGGGGUAACGGCCCACCUAGUCUUCGAUGGAUAGGGGUUCUGAGAGGAAGGUCCCCCACAUUGGAACUGAGACACGGUCCAAACUCCUACGGGAGGCAGCAGUGAGGAAUAUUGGUCAAUGGGCGAGAGCCUGAACCAGCCAAGUAGCGUGAAGGAUGACUGCCCUAUGGGUUGUAAACUUCUUUUAUAAAGGAAUAAAGUCGGGUAUGGAUACCCGUUUGCAUGUACUUUAUGAAUAAGGAUCGGCUAACUCCGUGCCAGCAGCCGCGGUAAUACGGAGGAUCCGAGCGUUAUCCGGAUUUAUUGGGUUUAAAGGGAGCGUAGAUGGAUGUUUAAGUCAGUUGUGAACGUUUGCGGCUCAACCGUAAAAUUGCAGUUGAUACUGGAUGUCUUGAGUGCAGUUGAGGCAGGCGGAAUUCGUGGUGUAGCGGUGAAAUGCUUAGAUAUCACGAAGAACUCCGAUUG
rnacentral:rRNA from 1 species